UACGUAGGGGGCGAGCGUUAUCCGGAAUUACUGGGCGUAAAGCGCACGCAGGCGGUUCGCCAAGUUUGGAGUGACAGUUGUCGGCUCAACCGACAAAGGACUUCAAAAACUGGUGAACUUGAGGACGAGAGAGGAACAUGGAACUCCAGGUGUAGUAGUGAAAUGCGUAGAUAUCUGGAAGAACACCAAUGGCGAAGGCAAUGUUCUGGCUCGUUUCUGACGCUCAGAGUGCGAAAGCCAGGGGACGCGAACGG
rnacentral:rRNA from 1 species